rnacentral:rRNA from 1 species
CGGACGGGUGAGUAACACGUGGAUAACCUACCUAUAAGACUGGGAUAACUUCGGGAAACCGGAGCUAAUACCGGAUAAUAUUUUGAACCGCAUGGUUCAAAAGUGAAAGACGGUCUUGCUGUCACUUAUAGAUGGAUCCGCGCUGCAUUAGCUAGUUGGUAAGGUAACGGCUUACCAAGGCAACGAUGCAUAGCCGACCUGAGAGGGCGAUCGGCCACACUGGAACUGAGACACGGUCCAG